CUCUGGCCGCAUGCCUUACACAUGCACGUCGAACGAUGAAGGAACAGCUUGCUGUUUCGGAUAGUGGCGGACGGGUGAGUAACGUAUAGGGAUCUGCUUGACAGUGGGGGACAACAGCCGGAAACGGCUGCUAAUACCGCAUACGCUCUACGGAGGAAAGUGGGGGACCUUCGGGCCUCACGCUGACAGAUGAACCUAUAUCAGAUUAGCUAGUUGGUGGGGUAAGGGCCUACCAAGGCGACGAUCUGUAGCUGGUCUGAGAGGAUGAUCAGCCACACUGGGACUGAGACACGGCCCAGACUCCUACGGGAGGCAGCAGUGGGGAAUAUUGGACAAUGGGGGCAACCCUGAUCCAGCAAUGCCGCGUGUGUGAAGAAGGCCUUCGGGUUGUAAAGCACUUUCAUUGAGGAGGAAAAGCUAUUGCUUAAUACGUAAUAGCCGUGACGUUACUCAAAGAAGAAGCACCGGCUAACUCCGUGCCAGCAGCCGCGGUAAUACGGAGGGUGCGAGCGUUAAUCGGAAUUACUGGGCGUAAAGCGCGCGUAGGCGGUUUGCUAAGUCAGAUGUGAAAUCCCCGGGCUUAACCUGGGAACUGCAUUUGAGACUGGUAGGCUAGAGUGUGGUAGAGGUGAGUGGAAUUUCAGGUGUAGCGGUGAAAUGCGUAGAGAUCUGAAGGAACAUCAGUGGCGAAGGCGACUCACUGGGCCAUACUGACGCUGAGGUGCGAAAGCGUGGGUAGCAAACAGGAUUAGAUACCCCUGGUAGUC
rnacentral:rRNA from 1 species